UUGUCUUAUCAAGUCGAUGGUCCCACGCGAGUGGGUUAAUAGGGAACGCCGUCACGCUCCGGCCGGGUCAUGAACCCGGGAGCCAAGUCGGAGGCUGCUCCCGCAACUGUAGGCGGUAUGCCGCCGGUUCAUUUCACCCGGACGGGGUGAGUCACUGUUUCCGAAAAGGAAAUGGGAAGGCAGAACCGGCUGGCCAUGAUCCGUAAGCCAGGAGACCUGCCAUCGUCAUAUAUCAAGC
rfam:Gluconacetobacter sp. SXCC-1 Contig2906, whole genome shotgun sequence.